CUUCGUACAAUUCAUUUUUUAAAAUUCAGCAUUUUUGAAAGAUUUGUAUUUUCAUAGUAAGACAUUUAGAGUGAUUUUUAACCAAAACAUGCUCUUUUUUUAAUUUUGUAUUAAGUGCUUUUUUAUUAGAUGCUAUUUUGCUUGUUUUUUUUUUUUUUAAUAUUAUUAAAGAGUUAUUCAUUUAAAUAGCCUCAGAUUGAUGUAUGGUAAACCAGUAAUUUAUAGAUUUGUAAAAAGCAGUGUUCUAGUUUUUACUAUGAAAACUUCAUUUUUGCUGAAAGGUCAUAAGAGAAUAUUAAAAAAUUCUGUUAAAUUACCAAGGUAAAAAACAUUAACCUUAGAAGAAAAGAAACUUGUUUAUUUGAACACAGGAUGCCAACAAAAACAACGAUGUUAUUCAGUAAUACUGCCUUCCAAUAUUUUUGUAUUAUCAUUCAUUUUAAUUCCCUUUUUUUUAGGUUAAGGCUAUGCUUAAAGAUUAUAAUUUUUAUCCAAUUAUUUUCUGUUAUUAAAUAUCUUCCAUAUUGUUUAAGAUUUGUUAAAAUAUUGCUCAUGUAUAUAUUUUAAGCUAUACAAAUUAACCAAGUAUUUUUACUUUCCAAGGGUUCUGAAUGUCAUUUGGUAACCAUGGUAACCACAUGCUUUUUAACUUCGUAUCUACCUGUAGACAUUUUUAUAAGUAUAACAUAUAUUGUAAUGUGUAUUUUACUUACCGGUACUUGCCAAAAAAAUAAAAGUGAGAUUUGUUAGCUUCAUGUCUUUAUUAAAAUUACAUAUUUCUGAUGCUGUUGAAUGUACAUGUACAUAAAAUAUGUAUUUAUUCUUAUACACUAUAAAUAGUUUCUAUUGUCUAUUGCUUUCAGUUAUACUGAGAAUCUAUAACAUAUAUAAUUUUUCUUACAAAUUUUUUAGGCACAAACCUUAAUUUCCACUGCUUGAAGGAUUCAGACUCAUUUCACAAAAAAUCUUACGAAAAAUUAUGUGUAAGUCAUGAAAAUUUCAGUAUAUAUAUAUGUAACUUACAAUCAAUUUUUGUCAUAAGAUGUUUUUUAAAAAGAGCCCUUGAGACUUUUUAGUACAUAACUUUUGUGUUCAUUAUUGUGUAUACUUUCCACAUAAAUUGUCAGCAUUGUUGUUUCUGGUGUGACAGAGAUAUAAGUAGCUACACAUUUACAAAAUGUAUACAAAUAUUAAACAACAAAUUAUGGUUCUUAGACUUCAUGAUAAACCCUCAUACCUUAGUUUUACACUACAAAUAAAAAUUGAUAAGUAUUUAAUGAGGUGCAAAUCAAAGGAGAUUAUCAGAUUAAAUUCUAAAGGCAAUUUAAUACUGUGUAAUUAAAUUGCUCUUUUAUUUAAUGUAGUUAUAUGUUUAGUAUAUCAAUUAAUGGGACAGAGGAAGGAAAAUAAAAAAAACCAAAAAACACAGAAAACUUCAUUUUUUUUGGUUCAAUAGAAUCAUUCUAAAUUAUAUGGUUAAAUUUACAAUGGUGUUCUUUUUCAUUCUAAAAUAUAUUUUUUUCUUUUAAUUAAUCUACUUAUUAAAGUUAUUUUCUUACACAUAAAUUCAUUCUGGUUAAAUUAUAUGUUUAUAUAUUUUUCCUUUUCAUUCAAAAUUUAUUCCAUUCAUUUUUUUUCUUUCUAAUUCAUCUGUAUAUUUAAGUUCUUUCUUGAAGAUUCUGGUACAAGUCUAGAAGAUUCAUAUAAACAACUACUAGUAAAGGGGAGAUAAUCAAUGAAUUUUUCAUUUUUUUUAGUCUCAGACUCAGAUUAGGGAUUUUUGUAUGAUAGGUAUAUAUAUGCUAAUCAAUUUUAAAUGAAGAAUAUUUUCUGUGAAAUUUUACACCUUGUUCUUUUAACACUAGCAUCUGCAGUGAAAACAUAAGAUUUUGUAAUAAGGUGGCAUUUGUUGAUAUUUUAAAAAAAAUUUAAAACCGAUUGAGCUGAAAUCUUUCAAUUUGUUAUAUCAUCAAUUUUACUUUGUUUGUCUUAUUUAUCUUAAUUAUUAUAUAUGUCUAGUUUCAAGUCAUGUCAUUUUUUUUUAGAGUAGAAUUUUUACUAGAGCAAACUACAAUUCACCAUUAUUGUAAUGCUGAUAUGGCUAUGGAAAUGUUGAACUUUAAAAUAUUUUGACUUAAAAUUUCAUUUCAUAAUAACAUCAUUUGAUCCAAUGUAUAAAUGUGUUUAUAUGUUAAACCUUAUACAUUUUUGUAAGCAAAAGAAAGGUAUACAUGUUCUGAAAAUUUUUGUGUUGUGUUUUUUUUUUACUAUUUUUUUUUCAUUCAAAUUUUGAGAAAUAAAAAAUAUGGAGCAAUUACAUAAAAUUCUGGGUAUGAAAGUUUUAGUGGAACUUGAUUAAAGUGGAAAAAAAUUAAUUGUGAACAUUUUCUAUACAUUCACAUUUUGAUUAUUUCUAUUGAAAUGGGAGGUAACAAAAAAGGGGAGAUAACUUUUGAUUCAACUUUUACAAUCGAAAUGGAACUUGAAAGUGCAUAACAAGAUUAUGAACAUUUAUAGUUGAACUGUAUUAGAAUAUACCUGCCCAAGUGGCACAUGUUAAUUAAGAGACAUUUUGACACAAAAAAAUAAUUAAAUAGAUAUAUUGUUUUUGGAGUUACCACUGAUGCUCAAUAUGUAUUGUAAGAUGUUCUGAUAUGAUACAAAUUCAAUUGUUUAUUUUUUUUUUGUAUAACCUUCAUUGUUAUAUAUACUGCAUGUAUAUAAAUAGUAUUUCAUAUUUUCUCAGAGUUUUAUAAACUGAUUUUUUUUCUAAAGUGCUGCCAAAUUAAAUCAUUCACUGAUAUACAUUUACAUUUCAGUCCAAAGAUUUGAUUUUUUAGUGUAGUGCUAAUAAUUUGAAACCAAUUGUUGGCCAAAUGGAGCUUUGUUUGAAAGUUAACUUAUAAGUGUUUACAUGCUAAUAUGUAUUCUUUAUUGUUCAUUAAAUGAACUUUAGUUUCACAUUAAUUUAUUCCUUUGCAAAAAUUUCAUUUUUUUUUUUUCACACAUGAGCAUAUUUUGUAUGAGCUAGAAUAAUUUAUUUUAAAUGGCAGUUACUUUUAAAUUUUUCCUUCAAGUGCCUUUGUUCAAGAUAAUACUGUGGAUUCAUUAUUAUUCGUUGGAUACCAAUUUUCGUGGAUUUCGUGGGUACCGGGAAACCAUGAAUUUAAAUAUUCAACGAAUUGCAAUUUUUUUAAAGGAAUAUAUGCAUACUUUGUAAAAACCACGAAAUUAAAUAUCCACGAAUAUGCAAGUUUUCCUCAUACCACAAAAAUUGGUACCCACGAAAAUAAAUGAAUCCUCCGUAUACACAUUUUAAUAUAUUUACUAUAAAUUGAAAUGUACAAAGUAUGUGAAGGUUUAAUUUCUUGAUUUCAGUCAAUAUUCAGCAUGUUAACCAGCAUGUAAAUGAAACAAACAAAUACUAGAUUUCUUAAGGAGGCUCGAGGGUAUAAAAAUUUUAGAAACAAAUCAAACAUUUGUUUUCAUUACAAUUUUUUUAUUUCCUUUUGUAGUUAUUACUUUAUCAU
rnacentral:lncRNA from 1 species